rnacentral:rRNA from 1 species
UGGGUAACCUGCCUCAAAGAGGGGAAUAGCCUCCCGAAAGGGAGAUUAAUACCGCAUAAUAUGUUUAAGUCGCAUGACUUUAACAUCAAAGGAUUUUUCUUUUAAGAAAUUUCCACUUUGAGAUGGACCCGCGGCGCAUUAGCUAGUUGGUGAGGUAACGGCUCACCAAGGCAACGAUGCGUAGCCGACCUGAGAGGGUGAUCGGCCACAUUGGAACUGAGACACGGUCCAGACUCCUAGGNG